UCAAUUCUCAAAAAUAGAUUUUGCCUUAAAUGAUUUUAUUUUGAGCUCUCGAGACUUCUUUGCUAAAUAUUAAAAUGUUAUACCUUUACAUAUAAAUUCAAGAGGUCUAAUAUAAUUUUCUUCAAUAUGCUCGAUCAUCAAGGUUUAUGACUUCGAUAUUGAUUCCUCUUAACAUUGGCAUUCGUUUCGUUCUUCAUGAGUGCAUUUAUCUUGUCCUAUGCAUGAAUUUUCAUUUUGAUGCGAUGGUCGAUUUGAUUUCAACUAUCAUGAUUCAAAAGUAGGUUUGUUAGAACCAAAAUUAAACCUUGUUUGUUAUAAUCAAAACAUAGACCGAAGUCAACCAUAUCAACAAUUUCCCCCUCUUUGAUUAUGACAAACAAGAUGAUUUGCAAAAAAUGAAUGAUUCACAAAUUUAACAAAUAUAUAUUUCUUUUGCACAUCAAUGAUCAUAUAUUGAAGAUAUUCUCCCCUUAAUCAUACACAUUAUGCAUAAUCAACCAUUACGCUAUUAAUUCCAUUUGGCAAAUUUUUGCAUAAUCAUCCACAUAUCAUAUUUUUGCAUAAUCAUCCAUAUAUCACUUCCCCCUUUUGGCAUAAGCAAAAAGAAGUCAACCAUUGAAUGCAAGAACAUAGAAACAAAAUAGAUUUGUCUAAUAACAAUGCAUAAAACCCAAAAACAGUUAGAGAAACAUAGUAGUGCAAUGUUCAAAAGGAAAUUAUAAAGACAAGCAUUAUAAAUGAUGGUGAGUGAACUAUGGUGCCGGAGGGAAUCUAGAGUAAAAAUCGGCAAAGAAAGCAGUUUGUUGUGCUUGCAUCUCUACCUGCCAGUCUUGGAUAGUUGUUUGUUGUGCCUGAAGCUGGAGAAGUAAACUUUCAAAACUGUCGAUGGUGGAAGUGUGAGAUUUAAUACGGUCGUUGAGGAUGUUAAAUUGAUCUUUGGUCAUGCGAUUCCCUCUACUCAAUGCUCGAGGGCCACUCGAGCCCGGAAUGUCGGAAAGAGAGAUUGGAGCAUCGUCGAAAUCAUCCUCAUCAUCGCCUUCCAAUGCUAAAGUGGAUGGACCCGAGGUAGGAUCGAACCCCUUUGUGUGUGCUACCCAUUACCCUUUUCCUUUGUGAUUCACAUUCGUGCAAGUGUUUUGAUGUUAAUGGUGUCGAUUGGACAUAAUUUGACAAAAGGCUCAUUGUCCAACGACACAUGAAAGUGUUUGAAAAUUUUGGUUAAAAGCAUGUCAUAUAGAAGAGUUUUGGUUUUUCGAGAGGUAUGCACGCGUUCCAUAGUUCCAAUAACCAAAGUUGGAAAAUCUAAUUUUCGAUUCACAAGAAAAUAGUCGAGAAUAAAUCAGUCGAGGAAAUUAACUUCGUCCCAAUGUCCUUUUUGAGGAAGUAUGACAUAGGCGAUAAUAUGUUGUAAAACCUUGCAAGGUAAACUCAAGUGAUGUGUACUAAUUUUAUUGAUAUUUUCAAAAUCUUUUCCGGUAACAUGUCGACAAGCAUCACUCGGGUUAUAACCCUCUAUAGACGAAUGUACCUUAUGAUGAUAAAUUUGUGUUUCACACAUGUCAAGCUCAAGAAUAUCAUGAAUGAGUGUUUUGGAAAUAGUGAUACGCACAUUGUUAAGAAAACAAGUAAUUGCGUCUGAUCGAAUAACCAUUGAGUGAUAAAAUUCUCUCAUUAACCUAGGAUAUGCGUGCUCUUUUAUCCCGACUACAUUGGUCCAAUCCAUGUUUUCUAAGAAAUCCUCAAUCUGAAAUGCAGGUGCUAACAAUGUAAAAUAAGAGAGAUCGACAUUUUUACCUAUGAGAAUGAGAGAUUUCUCAAAUGGGUUUGUAGGAACCUCAGGUACCUCAUCCAUUUCUUCAUUGGAGGAGCUUGGUGGAGGAUGUAUAACAGUCCUUUUGGGGUGAUUUACUGCUCUUUUCACUCUUGGCAUGGUGGAAAUUUUGAAAAAUUGAUGAAGAAAGAGCUAGGGUUCGAACUUUGUGAUUUAGGGAUAUUUGCAAAUGAUAGCUUGAGAUUUGGAGUAAUAGUGAGUGUAGAAGUUAUGCGUAGGAGAGAUUUUUAAGAAUUUAGCAAAAGGAAUAUGUUGUAGGAUGAAGGAAGAAGAUAUUGAGGGUGAGAAGUUAGGAAAUGGGGAGAAGAAGUGAGAAGGAAGAUGACUGGUUUGGGUUUAAAAAUCGAUAUCCCGUUAUACCAGACGGUCCGAUACAUCAUACCGGACAAUCUGUUAUGGCAGAGAAAUUUAUGUAAAAAAUGGAUUAAUGUACUGGAUAGUUCGUUGGGCUUGUCCGGUAAGUACCGGACGAUCCGUUUUGGUCGUCCGAUACAUUUUUUUUUUUAAAAAACUAAGAUACUAAAAUAUGAUGAAGUCAUGAAUAAGUAAUAAUUCGGACAAUUUUAUAAAAGCUUAUGAAUGUUGAUCAACGUGAUAGGGAGAAUUAACUACAUUCAACUUCAUUUUCAUCGAUAAUUCCUAAACCUUUUCGCAUAUAUGUGAAACGAUCGUGUGCAAGAGGUUUGGUGAGAAUAUCAGUCAAUUGGUCGUCGGUCUUUAUAAAUUCUAAUUCAAUAUCUCAUUUUUGCACAUGAUCACAAAGAAAAUGAUGUCGAAUCUCAAUAUGUUUAGUUUGUGAAUGCAAGACGAGAUUUUUAGAUAAAUUUUUGGCACUAGCAUUAUCACAUAAAAUAGGCACAUGAACGUAAAACAAAUAAUAAUCACAUAGAGUUUGUUUCAUCCAAAGUGUUUAUGCACAACAACUAGCGAUCGAAAUAUAUUCCGUCUCGAUGGUGGAUAGUGCAAAGAAAUUUUGUUUCUUACUAGACCAAGACAUAAGUACAAAACCUAGAAAGUGACAAUUUCCACUUGUGCUUUUACGAUCAACAUUACAUUCGGCUCAAUCGGCAUCCGAAUAAUUAAUUAAGUCAAUAUCAGUGCCUUUUGGAUACCAUAGUCCUAAAGUUCUCGUACCACUUAAAUAACGAAAAAUUCUUUUUACGAUCUUUAAGUGUGAUUCUUCAGGAUUAGAUUGAAAGCGAGCACAUAGGCAAACACAAAACAUAAUAUCCGGCCUACUAGCAGUUAAAUAAAGAAAGGAUCCGAUCAUACCUCAGUAUUUUGUGACACCCAUGGAUGUACCAUGCUCAUCCUUAUUAAGUUUUAGAGAUGUGCUCAUAGGUGUGUUCAUAAGCUUGAUGUCAUGCAUGUCAAAUUUCUUAAACAUAUCUAAUAUGUAUUCAUUUUGAUUUAUGAAAAUUCUUUCUUUCAUUUGUUUAAUUUGAAGGUCAAGAAAAUUUUUUUAACUCACCCAUCAUGCUCAUUUCAAAUUCUUUACUCAUGCAUUUUGAAAAUUCUUCACAAAGAUGUAUAUUUGUAACUCCAAAAAUAAUAUUGUCAACAUAAAUUUGAACAAUGAGCAUAUCAUCUUUAUGUGUUUUUAUAAAAAGUGUAGUAUACGCUUUUCUAAUCGAAAAACCAUUUGAGAGAAGAAAUUUGCUCAACCGUUCGUACCAAGCUUUAGAGCUUGUUUCAAAUCGUAAAGAGCUUUUUGAAAUUUAAAUGCAUGAUCCGAAUACUUGUGAUCUUUAAAAUCAGGAGGUUGCUCAACAAAAACUUAUUCUUAAAUGAAACCAUUUAAAAAAGUACUUUUAACAUCCAUUUGAUAAAAUGUAAAAUCUUUGUAACAUACAAAUUCAAAAAGCAUACGGAUGGAUUCUAAUCUAGCUACGGGUGUAAAUAUUUCUUCAAAAUCGAUACAUUCUUCUUGAUUGUAACCUUGGGCCACUAAUCUAACCUUGUUAUGCACGAUUAUUUCAUUUUCAUCUCUUUUAUUUCUAAAAACUCAUUUUGUUUCAAUAACGGUUUGAUUGUUUGGUCUAACGACUAAGUCCCAAACAUGGUUUCUUUCAAAUUGAUUUAAUUCUUCUUGCAUUGCUAGAAUCCAAAACUCAUCAAACUUGGCUUCUUUGAAAUUCUUAGGUUCGAUUUGAGAAAUAAAUGCACAACUACCAAAAUAAUUUUUGUAAGAGGUUCUAAUAGUGAUACCUUUUGAUGGAUCACCAAUUAUUAGCUCUUUGGAAUGAGAUGGAACAAACCUCCAUUCUUUUGGUAACGAGGGAUCACUUUAUUCUCCGUUUUGUCUUUCUUCAUUUUUUUGAGCAUUUGACUUUUCUAUGUCUCCAUUUGUUGCCUCCUUAUUUUGGUCUUGAAUUUUCAUUUGUUCGAAAGGAGCUUCCAAACCUACAUCGUCAUCACUACCUUUCUCUCGAUCAAAUGAGUUAGUUCCAUCAAAAGUAACAUGCAUAGAUUCUUCAACGACUAGAGUUCGUUUGUUAAAAACUCUAUAUGCUUUGCUAGUCGAUGAAUAUCCUAAGAAAAUUCCAAUGUCGGAUUUGGAGUCGAAUUUCCCCAAAUUGUAUUUUGUAUUUAAAAUAAAACAUUUACAUCCAAAAACUUUAAAAUAACUAAUAUUUGGAAUUCUAUUUUUCCAAAAUUCGUAAGGAGUUUUAGUUUUCCUUUUACUUACUAAUACUCUAUUGAUAAUGUAGCAAGCGGUAUUAACGGCUUUAGCCCAAAAAUAUUUAGGCAAGUUAUUUUCAUUUAACAUAGUUCGAGUCAUUUCUUACAAUAUACGAUUCUUCCUUUCUACUACACCAUUUUGUUGAGGUGUUCUAGGAGCCGAAAAAUUAUGUUCAUAUCCAUGUUCUUUACAAAAAUCAUCAAACCCAACAUUAUCAAAUUCUCCACCAUGGUCACUUCUAAUAGUUGAAAUAGAAUAGCCUUUUUUCAUUUUCAACUUUCUUAUAAAAAUGUUUAAAAAAUUUCAAAACUUCUUCUUUUAAGCUUAAAAAUAUAACCCAAGUAAAUUUUGAAAAAUUAUCGACAAUAACAAAAGCAUAAUGUUUACCUCCUAAGCUAGCCAUCCUAGAAGGUCCAAAAAGAUCCAUAUGGAAAAAUUGUAAUGAUUUUGUGGUUGAAGUAUAAAGUUUUGGUUUGAAAGAACUUUUUACUUGUUUUCCAAAUUGACAGGUAUCACAAAUUUUGUCUUUUUCAAAUUCGGUAAACCUUUUACAAAACAAUUUUUGAAAAUUUUUGAAAGAAGAUCCAUAUUUACAUGUCCAAGUCUUCUAUGCCAUAACCAUGAUUCUACUUUCAAGCUAAGUAAACAUUUUUCAUUAUUUUCCAAUUCAAUGUUUAUAAUAUAAACAUCUUUACUUCGACUUCCUAUAAAAAUCACCUCUUUCGAUGUAGCAUCCUUAAUAAGACAUUUGGAAGAAUUGAAUUUUAUGUUAUAAGCUUUGUCACAUAAUUGACUAAUGCUUAGUAAAUUAUGUUUAAAAUUAUCAACGAGUAAAAUAUUUUCGAUAGAGGGGGAUGAGUGGUUACCAAUGUUUCCAAUGCCGAUUAUUUUACCUUUGGCAUUAUCUUCAAAAGUCACAUAGCCUUCAUCCUUCUCUUGAAAGUUUGAUAAUAAUGAUCAAUCUCUAGUCAUAUGCUUUGAGCAUCCACUAUCCAAGAAUCAUUUAAUUUUUAUUUUCUUUGGUACCUACAAAGACAAAUUAAGUUUUGACUUUUGGUACCCACACAAAUAUAGGUCCUUGAUGAUUUUUUUUGUGGAUUCUUGUAUCCACUUGUAUUUGCUCUCAAAGAAUAAUUUUUUUAUUUACACAAUUUAAAGCAAUAUGUUCACUUUUAUUACAAAAGCUACAUGAAAUAUUUGAAGCCUUAACAAACAUAUUUUUGAGUGAUUUUUGUUUUAGAGAGGGUUUGUAUCCAAUUCCUCCUUUAUCAAAAAUAUAUUUUUGACUACCGAGUAUUAAAUCAAAAUUUUUCUUACAUAUAAUAAACUCAUGGAUAAUUUGUGUUAAAUCAUUAACCUUUUCUUUCAAAGAAAUGUUUUCUUUUAUCAAAAGGUCAUGAUCAAUACUCACUUUUUGAUUUUCGAAAAUUUUCUUAAUUUCUUCUUUUAAAAUAAAGUUUUUCUUUUUAAGAAUAGCAUGAUUUAAAGCGAGUUUUUCAAAAUUUUCAAGCAUUUCAACAUAAGAAAUUGAAAGCUCAUCAUAAGAACAUACUUCUUCUUCGAUUGCCAUGAAGCACAUAUUUGCCACUUCAUCUUGACUAUCUUCCCAUUUUGUUCUUCGUCAUUGCUAUCAUCCCUGUGGCUUGGAGUGCCUUUUUCUUGAAAUUUUUCUUUUUGUGUGGACACUCGAUUCUCUUGUGACCUAGCUUGUCACAAUUAUAGCAAACAAUUUUUUUGUUCCUAUCUUCUCCUUUUUCUUAUUUCUUUUUGAAUCUUCGAUUAUUACGAAAACCUCUUCAUUUUUUGACAAGAAGGACCAAAUCAUCAAGUUCUUCAUCGCUCAUAUUUUCAUUUGAUGUUCCUUCUUCAAUUGCCAACUUUAAUGCAAUUUGUCGUUUAGGAGGCUCCUUUGAUUCCUCCUUGCUUUUUUUCAUUUUCUCCUUAACUUCGGCAUUGUUUAGCUCAUUAAUGUGCCGUAGAGCUCUUCCAAAAGAUAUGUAUUUACAUCCUUAGUAUUCUCGAUCAACAUCCUCAAUGGACUUCAUUCCUCCGAUAAGCACCUAAGCAUUUUUCUCACAAGUUCACUGUUAGUAAAUUUACAAUCAAAACCUUUAAGAUCAUUUACAAUAUCGGUAAAACAAGUAAUCAUGUCAACAAUAGGCUCAUUUUGUUUCAUAUAGAAAUUUUCAAAUUCUUUAACUAACAUAUUUAUCUUUGUUUCCUUAACUUACUUGUGCCAACAUGAGUAACUUCAAGAGCAUGCCAAAUACCAUAUGCCGAAUCACAUGUACUAAUUCGAUUAAAUUCAUUUCUAUCAAGUGCACAAUAAAGUAAAUUUUUAGCCUUGGCAUUUAAUGUAGUUUUCUCUUAUCUUCAUCAUCGUAUUCUUCUCUAGAUUUGGGGAGAGUUUGCUCCGGUUUAUCGUCUACUUUAAUAGUCUUAGUGGGAACAUAUGGACCAUAUUCUAUAACUUCCGAAAUAUUGUAAACAAUGGAUUGAACAUAUAUCAUCAUCCGAGCCUUCCAAUAGUUAUAAUGUGUACCAUCAAAGAAAAGAGGCCGGUUUGUAGAGUGUCCCUCAAUAUUUUGAAAAACUUGGUUAGCCAUUACUCAAGAUUGUAUAAUCUUAAAAAAAAAAAAAAAAAAAAGAGAGAGAGAACCUUGCUCUGAUACCAAUUGACAGCCCAAGAACAACUGACCAAGAGGGGGUGAAUUGGUUAUUUGAAACUUUUUUGAAAAUAAGUUCAAAUUUAAACAAAUAACAAUUAAAAUAAUAAGUAAGUAAGAUAUCGCAAAAAUAAUAAGAAAAAGGGAAGAGAGAGCGCAAACGAUGUAAUAAGGAGGUUCGAUCCAAUCAACUAUCUACGUCCCCUGUUACCAAGCUCUCCGUCACGAGUAAGGCUUUUUCCACUAUAUUUGAUUGACUUAUGGUUCAAUGCAACCUUUACAAAGCUUUCGAUGACUUACAAUUAAGGAGUACUGAUCCUUUUACAUCGUUGAGAGGUGUCAGAACGUUAAAAAUUUUGACCGUUGGGCAAAGACCUUUACCGGACGGUCCGGUAUCGUCUGGUACACUACUGGACCGUCCGGUAGCUCAAUUCUCAAAAAUAGAUUUUGCCUUGAAUGCUUUUAUUUUGAUCUCCCGAGACUUCUUUGCUAAAUAUUAAAAUGUUAUACCUUUACAUAUAAAUUCAAGAGUUUUAAUAUAAUUUUCUUCAAUAUGCUCGAUCAUCAAGGGUUAUGACUUCGAUCUUGAUUCCUCUUGACAUUGGCAUUCGUUUCGUUCUUCAUGAGUGCAUUUAUCUUGUCCUAUGCAUGAAUCUUCAUUUUGAUGCGAUGGUCGAUUUGAUUUCAACUAUCAUGAUUCAAAAGUAGGUUUGUUAGAACCAAAAUUAAAUCUUGUCUGUUA
rnacentral:lncRNA from 1 species